UACGUAUGGUGCAAGCGUUAUCCGGAUUUACUGGGCGUAAAGGGAGCGUAGACGGCCAAGCAAGCCAGGGGUGAAAGCCCGGGGCCCAACCCCGGGACUGCCCUUGGAACUGCAUGGCUGGAGUGCGGGAGGGGCAGGCGGAAUUCCUGGUGUAGCGGUGAAAUGCGUAGAUAUCAGGAGGAACACCGGCGGCGAAGGCGGCCUGCUGGAUCGCGACUGACGUUGAGGCUCGAAAGCGUGGGGAGCGAACAGG
rnacentral:rRNA from 1 species